rnacentral:rRNA from 1 species
AUUGAACGCUGGCGGCAUGCCUAACACAUGCAAGUCGAGCGGAGCGGCGGACGGGUGAGUAAUGCCUAGGAAUCUGCCUGGUAGUGGGGACUCCCGUCCGGGAACGUGCGCUAAUACCGCAUCCUAUCAGAUGAGCCUAGGUCGGAUUAGCUAGUUGGGGGGGUAAAGGCCUAACAAGGCGACGAUCCGUAACUGGCCUGAGAGGAUGAUCAGUCACACUGGAAAUGAUACACGGCCCAGACUCCUACGGGAGGAAGCAGUGGUGAAUAUGUGACAAUGGGCGAAAGCCUGAUCCAGCCAUGCAGCGGGUGUGAAGAAGGUCGGCGGAUUGGAAAGCACUUUAAGGUGGGAGGCGUUAUCAACAGAAUAAGCACCGGCGAACUUCGUGCCAGCAGCCGCGGUAAUAC